AAGCGCACAAGAGUACGAGGUGGAUGCCCAGGUGCCAAACGCCGAUGAAGGACGCGGAGACCGGCGAAACGUUCAGGGGGAGCUGCAUCCAAGCGAUGAGCCCUGAGAGUCCGAAUGGGGCAACCCAUCCAGAGUGAUGUCUGGAUACCCCUUGCUGAACCCAUAGGCAAGGUGGAGGGCAGUGGGUGAACUGAAACAUCUCAGUAACCCGACGAAAAGAAAUCAACCGAGAUUCCCGUAGUAGUGGCGAGCGAACCGGGAAGAGCCCAAACCAUUCGUUCUUCGGAACGGGUGGGGUUGUAGGACCUGCACUCCCUUGCACAACUGCUACUCGAACAGGCUGGAACGCCUGACCGGAGCGGGUGAGAGUCCCGUAGAGAACGGCGGCGGUGCAAGCGCAGGGAUCCUGAGUACCACGAGGCACGUGAAACCUUGUGGGAAGCUGGGGGGACCACCCUCCAAGGCUAAACACGUUUGGCAACCGAUAGUGAACCAGUACCGUGAGGGAAAGGUGAAAAGCACCCCGAGAGGGGGAUGAAAGAGACCCUGAAACCACGUACUCACAAGCUGUCAGAGGUCACUGUCCUCAAGGAGGACUAAGGACUGAUGGCGUGCCUUUUGUAGAAUGAUCCGGCGAGUGGUUCGUUGUCGCAGGUUAACCUUCGGUAAAGAAGGGGAGCCAGAGGGAAACCGAGUCUGAAGAGGGCGCACAGGGUGGCAAGGAACCGACCCGAAACCGUGUGAGCUACCCAUGAGCAGAGUGAAGCGAAUGUGAAAGUUCGUCGAGGCUCGCACCCACCAGUGUUGCAAAACUGGGGGAGGACUUGUGGGUAGGGGUGAAAUGCCAAUCGAACACGGAGAUAGCUGGUUCUCCCCGAAAUGCAUUGAGGUGCAGCCACAGGAAAAGACGCUCGUGGAGGUAGAGCCCUGAAUGGGCUAGGGGCCAAGUGCUGGUUACCAAACCCAAUCAAACUACGAAUGCCACGAGUGGGUCCCUGUGAGUGAGACGGCGGGGGCUAAGCUUCGUCGUCAAAAGGGAAACAGCCCGGACCACCAGCUAAGGUCUCUAAAAGAUGCUCAGUGUGAAAGGGAGUCAGUGCGCAAUAACAGCCAGGAUGUUGGCUUAGAAGCAGCCAUCAUUGAAAGAGUGCGUAAUAGCUCACUGGUCGAGUGAACUGGCACCGACAACGUACCGAGGCUCAAGCAUCGUACCGAAGCUGUGGAUUGAUCUCAUAUGAGAUCAAUGGUAGGGGAGCGUUCUUGACCAGAGAAGCCAGACCGUGAGGACUGGUGGAGGGAAAAGAAGUGAGAAUGCCGGAAUGAGUAGCGUUAUAUCUGUGAGAACCAGAUACACCGAAUGCCUGAGGGUUCCUGGGCAACGUCAAUCGUCCCAGGGUUAGUCGGGACCUAAGCCGAGGGCGUUAAGCCGUAGGCGAUGGAGAGCAGGUAGGACAGUCCUGCACCAGAGCAGAUCGUUUGAGUGAAGGGGGGACGCGGUCAGGAAGGUGAGCCCGUCGAAUGGACAGGACGGGUGCCCUGUCUGAAGCGCGUGGACGAGGAAAAUCCCGGCCACAGGGAGCGUGACAGCAGGGCCGAGCGCCCGAAGAGGGUGCGGAAGUCAUCGGCCCCCAUGCCGCCAAGAAAAGCCUCUAGCGAGAUCGAGCUCUGCCCGUACCGCAAACCGACACAGGUAGGCAGGGAGACGUCUCUCCAGGUGAUCGAGGGAGCCUCUGCUAAGGAACUCGGCAAAAUGACCCCGUACCUUUGGAAGAAGGGGGGCCUGAGUAGCUUUCGUGCUGAGAGGCACGGGGGUGAGCAGGCUGCAAGAAAUGGGCCCAACCGACUGUUUACCAAAAACACAGGUCUCUGCGAACGCGAAAGCGGAAGUAUAGGGGCUGACUCCUGCCCAGUGCCGGAAGGUUACGAGGAGUGGUGAGCGUAGCCAUGAAUCUAAGCCCCGGUGAACGGCGGCCGUAACUAUAACGGUCCUAAGGUAGCGAAAUUCCUUGUCGGGUAAGUUCCGACCCGCACGAAAGGAGCAACGAGUUGGGCACUGUCUCGGCAGAGGACUCGGCGAAAUUGAAGUACCCGUGAAGAUGCGGGUUUCCCACGACAGGACAAAAAGACCCCGUGGAGCUUUACUACACCUUGGCCUGGAAACGAGGCAGGACGUGCGUAGGAUAGGUGGGAGCCGGAGAACCCUUCCUUGUGGGGGAGGGGGAGGCAGCAGUGAAAUACCACUCUCGUUGUGUUUUGUUUCUCACGCGUGAGCCAGAAGCUGGCAUGCGGACAGGGUCAGGCGGGUAGUUUGACUGGGGCGGUCGCCUCCCAAAGGGUAACGGAGGCGUCCAAAGGUUCCCUCAGGGUGGAUGGACAUCACCCGAGCAGAGUGCAAAGGCAGAAGGGAGCUUGACUGCGAGGCAGACAGGCCGAGCAGGGACGAAAGUCGGGCUUAGUGAUCCCACAUUCCCGAGUGGAAGGAGUGUGGCUUAACGGAUAAAAGCUACCCCGGGGAUAACAGGCUGAUCCUGCCCAAGAGUUCACAUCGACGGCAGGGUUUGGCACCUCGAUGUCGGCUCGUCGCAUCCUGGGGCUGGAGUAGGUCCCAAGGGUUGGGCUGUUCGCCCAUGAAAGCGGCACGCGAGCUGGGUUCAGAACGUCGCGAGACAGUUCGGUCUCUAUCCGUCGUGGGCGCAGGAAGAUUGAGGGGAGUCAUCUUCAGUACGAGAGGACCGAGAUGGCUUGACCGCUGGUGCGUCAGUUGGCCUGCCCGGGCCAGAGCUGAGUAGCUACGUCAAGAAAGGAGAAGCGCUGAAAGCAUCUAAGCGCGAAGCCGACCCCAAGAAGAGUCUUCCCGCUCUCUCUGAGAGGAGGGAGCCAAGACCCCAGAAAGAAGAUCUGGUAGAUAGACCGUGCGUGGACGUCUGGUAACAGGCGAAGCGGAACGGGACUAAUGGUCGAACGGCUUGUUU
rnacentral:rRNA from 1 species